UAUAAUAAACUGGUAUUUAGGGUGUAUAUUGUCCAGUAUCCAUGCUUAGUAUUGGAAGAUCAUAUGAUAAACAGGUAUUUAGGGUGUAUAUUGUCCAGAGUCCAUGCUUAGUAUUGGAAGAUCUUAUGAUAAACAGGUAUUUAGGGUGUAUAUUGUCCGGAGUACAUGCUUAGUAUUAGAAGAUCUUAUGAUAAACAAAUAUUUAGGGUGUAUAAUGUCCAGAGUCCAUGCUUAGGAUUGGAAGAUCUUAUGAUAAACAGGUAUUUAGGGUGUAUAUUGUCCGGAGUCCUUGAAGAUCAUAUGAUAAACAGUUAUUUAGGGUGUAUGUUGUCCGGAGUCCAUGCUUAAUAUUUGAAGAUCUUAUGAUAAACCGGUAUUUAGG